AACGAACGCUGGCGGCGCGCUUAACACAUGCAAGUCGAACGAGAAGGCGUAGCAAUACGCUUGUACAGUGGCGAACGGGUGAGUAAUACGUGGGCGACCUACCCUCGAGUGGGGAAUAACCCGCCGAAAGGCGGGCUAAUGCCGCGUACGCUUCCAUCUUUAUGGAGGUGGAAGGAAAGCCGUGCCGUGGGCACGGCGCUCAAGGAUGGGCUCACGUCCUAUCAGCUUGUUGGUAGGGAACGGCCUACCAAGGCUCCGACGGGUAGCUGGUCUGAGAGGACGAUCAGCCACACUGGCACUGCGACACGGGCCAGACUCCUACGGGAGGCAGCAGUGGGGAAUCUUGCGCAAUGGGCGAAAGCCUGACGCAGCGACGCCGCGUGAGGGAUGACGGCCUC
rnacentral:rRNA from 1 species